rnacentral:lncRNA from 1 species
UGUCAAAGCUCUGAUAACGAAGCUUUUGUCGAUUGAAAAGAGUUCGAAACUGGAAGGCGGCUGGAAGGCCACUGAAAGGAGAGCCAAGAGCAGCAGCUCUCUCGCUCGCUUGAUGGGCAUUGAGAGCGCACAGCUGUUGCUUUCACAGCGACGGCGCCUUUGAAGGACAUCGGACAAAGGUUAGUCCUGACGUUUACGUUGCCGGGUCGUGUCUGAGAACGAGACCUGGCCUGGCCUGGUCUCUUGCCCUAGCUUGCCUGGCUUGCUUGGUGUGGCCCCAAAGCGAGCGAGCGACCGAG